rnacentral:rRNA from 1 species
GACUGCGAGAAUGACAAUUCGAGCAGGUGCGAAAGCAGGUCAUAGUGAUCCGGUGGUUCUGAAUGGAAGGGCCAUCGCUCAACGGAUAAAAGGUACUCCGGGGAUAACAGGCUGAUACCGCCCAAGAGUUCAUAUCGACGGCGGUGUUUGGCACCUCGAUGUCGGCUCAUCAAAUCCUGGGGCUGAAGUCGGUCCCAAGGGUAUGGCUGUUCGCCAUUUAAAGUGGUACGCGAGCUGGGUUUAGAACGUCGUGAGACAGUUCGGUCCCUAUCUGCCGUGGGCGUUGGAGAAUUGAAAGGGGCUGCUCCUAGUACGAGAGGACCGGAGUGGACGAACCUCUGGUGUUCGGGUUGUGUCGCCAGACGCAUUGCCCGGUAGCUAAGUUCGGGAUCGAUAACCGCUGAAAGCAUCUAAGCGGGAAGCGAGCCUUGAGAUGAGUUCUCCCUGAUACUUUAAGUAUCCUAAAGGGUUGUCGUAGACUACGACGUUGAUAGGCAGGGUGUGUAAGCGUUGUGAGGCGUUGAGCUAACCUGUACUAAUUGCCCGUGAGGCUUAACCAUACAACACCCAAGGGGUUU